rnacentral:lncRNA from 1 species
AAAAAAAAAAAAGUCAGUCUUUCAUUUUAGUGUAAAAGUACAUCUAAGGAACAGUGAAACUUUGUAAACUGUUUACAUCUUACACGUUUCCUUGUUGGGAAAUGUCAAGGUAGAGUUAAGAUAUUUAAGAUCGAGUGAGAAAGUACAAAGAUGAAUGAGGAUAUCAUAUAAUGUAAUGACAGCAGACUUCAGCCUCACCAGCAUUCACUUUUGUGUUAACAUUCUUAGGAUUUCAACAGAGCCUCUUAUUGUCAUGUGGUGCAUGAUGCUCACUCAUAGGUACCAACUGAAAAUAGUUAUUUUUCAAAUCCUAUAUGUGUAAGCUUGUGAGGCUUCAGAUUUUUUUUCAUGUUGUUCUAAAAUCUUGGCAACAGUGAAAAAUGUUCAAAACUCUCCAAUAAAGUGACUGAUAGCAACUUCUAUGCCAAAUUUUAGUCAUAAAAAUGCUCUAUUUGAUAUAGCGUACACAUCAUUAGACAAGAACCUACAGGUUUUAUAUUAUACGGCUGGGAGCAAAGGAAUAGCAAUGGAUGGUUAAGGAGAAGUACAAAAAAAAAAAGUGUCUCCUCAGCCUAAUUUUUUCCUCCAUAUCCUGCACAGGAAACAGAAAUUUCCACCAUUUGUAUUAUUCCCUAAGAUUAAGAUGGUGACUUCACAGGAAAUUUCUAAAAGGGUAACCCAUGAAUCCUCCUGAAUUUUUUUUCUCAGAUAAUACACCCCUGAAAGCUAUAUUUUAAUGCUGACUGUAAGGUGGGGCACAGAAAGCCUAAGACAUGAAAGGAAUGUUAGAUGUCUGAGAGAAGAGAGCAGGUGGGGUUGUUUAUAGACAGUCUGGCCAUCUAAGAGGGAGUGAAAAAUAAAGAGCAAAUAGAGGAUGAAAGCAGGGGCACUUAUUUAUAAAGUCAUAGCAAUUUGGGAUAGCAUUUUCCUAUCACAGUUAUCUGAAACUUUUUUUCCUAUCACAGAUUUGUUACAGAUUGCAGAUAAGUUGUUUAUAAAUCCAAAAUCAUGCAUAGGUAAUCUAUUUGAAUAAGAAAUUUAUCAGAUUUGGUAGAAAGAAGGCAAACAUAUAAACAUAAAUUAGCUAUGUAUAUUUUAGGAAAAAAUAGUAAAGUUGUAAAAUUAUAUAUUAUACUAAAUCCCCCAGAAAAUGUCGAAUACAAAAUAACAAUUCUAAUGCCCCCAAAAUACGUGAACUCUACACAAAUAAAAGCAUUAUUAAAGAAAUUUGAACGUACCUAAAUAAAUUGAAGAAAAGUCAUUUUUGUCAGCUUCACUCCCUAUGCAACCGCUUUUCUUUAACUUUUUAAUGCACAUUAAUUCUUAAAAUGACGUCACUUCCCGCAACUCCUUCUUAGAGGAUGGCCCUCAGGCUGCCAGAGCUCAAUGUAAAUGGGUAUAAGGAGAACCACAGUGUGUGAAAUCAAAUCCAUUGGGCAGCUCCUCCCAAAGGCUGAUUGGAUCGGGCAUAAAAAUACUCCAGUUAUCUUUGACUCAUUAUCUCUGAUGUGUCUUCCAUACACUCCAGAGCUUUCCUAUGAGAUUGAGCCAAAUAAGUUUCAUGGGAAUUCCAAGGAAAUUUACUUGAUACCGACUUUUUGUUUGAAUUCCUUCUAAUAAACGAGGACUUAGUAACAAAAGCUUAAAGAGAUUAAUGGAAUUACAUCAGACUAAAAGCUUCUGCCCAGCCAAAGAAACAAUCAACAACAAAAUAAAGAAAUAGCCUAUGGAAUAGGAGAAAAUAUUAGCAAAAUUUUUAUCUUCUAAGGGGUUCACACCCAAAAUAUAUAAGGUACUCCAACAACUCAAUAGAAAGAAAACAAAGAACUUGAAAGUAGUCAAAGAAUCUGAACAGAUAUUUCUCAACAAAAGACAUUCAAAUGGCCAAAAGGUAUAUGAAAAAAUGCUCAAUAGCACUAAUUUUCAGGUAAAUGCAAAUUAAAACCACAGUUUAUCACAUCACCACCUGUUAGAAUAGCUAUUAUCAAAUAUAAAAAAGAUAAAUGUUGGUGAGAAAAAGGAAACCCUUGUGCAUUACAGUCAUUAUGAAAAACAGUAUGGAGGUUCUUUCAUGAAAUUAAAAAUAGAAUAAUCUUAUGAUCUAGCAAUUCCAUUACUAAGUACAUAUCCAAAGGAAAUGAAGUCAGUAUGAAAAACAUAUCUACAUACCAUUUUUAUUGCAGCACUAUUCACAAUAGCCAAUAUAUAGAUGCAACUUACGUGUCCAUGCAUGGAUGAACGGAUAAAGCAAACGUGGUAUAUAUACGUAAUGAAAAACUAUUUCACCUUUAAAAAUAAGGAAAUCUUAUCAUUUUUGAUGAUAAGGAUGAACCUGGAGUACAUUACGUUAAGUGAAAUAAGCCAGGCACAGGAAGACAACUACUGCAUUACCUUUGAAUGUGGCAUCUAAGAGUUGAACUCAACUAAUUGUAUGUGGAAUCUAAGAGCUGAACUCAUAGAAGCAGAGUAGAAUUGUAGUUUCCAGGGCCUGGAAAGACAGGAGGUGUUGGGGAGAUGUUGGCCCAAGGAUAUGCAAUUUCAGUUAGAUAAAGAGGAGUAAGUUCAAGAGAUGUAUUGUACGAUAUGGUGACUGUGUCAAUGACAAUGUAUUCUUGAAAAUUGCUAAGAAAGUAGAUUUUAGUUACAUACGUAUACAUGUGCCAUGCUGGUGUGCUGCACCCACUAACUCGUCAUCUAGCAUUAGGUAUAUCUCCCAUUGCUAUCCCCCCCUCUGCUUGUGCACAUGUACCCUAAAACUUAAAGUAUAAUAAUAAAAAUAAAUAAAUUAAUUAAUUAAUUAAUUAAUUAAAUUCAUCAAACCGUAAAAAAAAAAAAAAAAGAAAGUAGAUUUUAAGGCUGGGCACGGUGGCUCAUGCCUG